CCAAUGUUGAUAUCCUGGCAUAUUGAUUUCUGUCAAACCCUGCUAGGCUCUGUCUUUGUGGCGUAUGGGAGCUGAAUGUCUCACAAGGACUUGAUGCAUAUUCCCGUUCCACAACAUUGGAUAUAAACCCAGGCUUGGACUGCUCUGUACAGGUCUGAACCCCAUAUAUUCCAUCACUUUCUCAUAGCUACUAUGUGGCAGUUACUGAGGAAGAAGACCAUAUGGGGAACAAUU
rnacentral:snoRNA from 1 species